rnacentral:rRNA from 1 species
CACGUAAGUUGCGAGCGUUGUUCGGAAUUAUUGGGCGUAAAGGGCAUGCAGGCGGCUGCGUAAGCCUGAUGUGAAAUGCCGGGGCUCAACCCCGGAACUGCAUUGGGAACUACGCGGCUAGAGUUACUGAGGGGCAGCCGGAAUUCCAGGUGUAGGGGUGAAAUCUGUAGAUAUCUGGAAGAACACCAAUGGCGAAGGCAGGCUGCCAGCAGAUAACUGACGCUGAGGUGCGAAGGUGCGGGGAGCGAAC